CCUACGGGGGGCUGCAGUGGGGAAUAUUGGACAAUGGGGGCAACCCUGAUCCAGCCAUGCCGCGUGUGUGAAGAAGGCCCUCGGGUUGUAAAGCACUUUCAGUGAGGAAGAACGCCUGGUGGUUAAUACCCAUCAGGAAAGACAUCACUCACAGAAGAAGCACCGGCUAACUCCGUGCCAGCAGCCGCGGUAAUACGGAGGGUGCGGGCGUUAAUCGGAAUUACUGGGCGUAAAGCGCGCGUAGGUGGCUUGAUAAGCCGGUUGUGAAAGCCCCGGGCUCAACCUGGGAACGGCAUCCGGAACUGUCAAGCUAGAGUGCAGGAGAGGAAGGUAGAAUUCCCGGUGUAGCGGUGAAAUGCGUAGAGAUCGGGAGGAAUACCAGUGGCGAAGGCGGCCUUCUGGACUGACACUGACACUGAGGUGCGAAAGCGUGGGUAGCAAACAGGAUUAGAUACCCCAGUAGUC
rnacentral:rRNA from 1 species